rnacentral:rRNA from 1 species
UUCGGGAAACCGGAGCUAAUACCGGAUAAUAUUUUGAACCGAAUGGUUCAAAAGUGAAAGACGGUCUUGCUGUCACUUAUAGAUGGAUCCGCGCUGCAUUAGCUAGUUGGUAAGGUAACGGCUUACCAAGGCAACGAUGCAUAGCCGACCUGAGAGGGUGAUCGGCCACACUGGAACUGAGACACGGUCCAG